rnacentral:rRNA from 1 species
AGCGGCGGACGGGUGAGUAACACGUGGGUAACCUGCCCAAGAGACUGGGAUAACACCUGGAAACAGAUGCUAAUACCGGAUAACAACACUAGACGCAUGUCUAGAGUUUGAAAGAUGGUUCUGCUAUCACUCUUGGAUGGACCUGCGGUGCAUUAGCUAGUUGGUAAGGUAACGGCUUACCAAGGCAAUGAUGCAUAGCCGAGUUGAGAGACUGAUCGGCCACAUUGGGACUGAGACACGGCCCAAACUCCUACGGGAGAUGGCAGUAGGGAACCUUCCACAAUGGACGAAAGUCUGAUGGAGCAACGCCGCGUGAGUGAAGAAGGGUUUCGGCUCGUAAAGCUCUGUUGGUAGUGAAGAAAGAUAGAGGUAGUAACUGGCCUUUAUUUGACGGUAAUUACUUAGAAAGUCACGGCUAACUACGUGCCAGCAGCCGCGGUAAUACGUAGGUGGCAAGCGUUGUCCGGAUUUAUUGGGCGUAAAGCGAGUGCAGGCGGUUCAAUAAGUCUGAUGUGAAAGCCUUCGGCUCAACCGGAGAAUUGCAUCAGAAACUGUUGAACUUGAGUGCAGAAGAGGAAAGUGGAACUCCAUGUGUAGCGGUGGAAUGCGUAGAUAUAUGGAAGAACACCAGUGGCGAAGGCGGCUCUCUGGUCUGCAACUGACGCUGAGGCUCGAAAGCAUGGGUAGCGAACAGGAUUAGAUACCCUGGUAGUCCAUGCCGUAAACGAUGAGUGCUAAGUGU